rnacentral:lncRNA from 1 species
AUUAGGAGGUGUUUUAGGUAAAUUGCUCAGGGGUUGGGGUGGGAUAAAAUGUCCCCGCUGCUUGUGGGCCUUAUCAGUGUAUUUUUCUGUGUUCCAUCCUUGGCGGAGGGAGACCGAGUGCUUCUGAUAAAGACGCGGGGUGUGACUCCACAACAGAGGAUGGAGCACGGCUGCCGUGGAGAUUCUGGCUCGGCCACUGUCACCUCUGGGAAUUCUCUCGGCAUGAGGAUACACUGACUGUUGCCUGCCUGAGUUUAUCCGCAUUAGAAGAACAAUAGCGAGCAGGCGGCAGUGCUCCACUCGUCUCUCUGGAGACCUGCGCUGCGGUCUGGAGCAAGGGGCGCCCAGGGAGGUGGCAGCGGUGACCGUGCUGGAGAAGAGAAGGAGGUGGUGGUGGAGAAGGAGGAGGUGGGUUAUCAUCGCGUUGUUGGGAAAAUAAUAGCCUCGAGGUAGACCGCGGCAAACAGGAAGGGUGUGGACAGGAUUCGAGUGCAGCUGCCGCGCCGAGCGGCGUCUGUUCCCACCGUCUUUGAUCUGUGGGCACACUGCGCUCUGUGCCACGAGAUAAACACGCUGGGAGAGCUGGUUUGUUUGUGUUACACAUAACUCCUUAAUGAGAUGUACCCCGGCCAGCCGCUGGGAGCCCGUGAGAGCCAGAUGGAGAGAGGUGGAGGAGGAGGGAGUAAGGCGGCAGGCGCGGGCAGUGGGAAACGUGUGGGGACACCGUCGACCGCUCGCUAAUUGAUCACUGACAAGGGCACCAUUGAUUGCCGCUGGCCGCAGUAUUUGGGUUUUCUGCGCCGCCUCUGGUCCCAGGAGAUUCUGGUUUCCGCGCAUUCCCCUCGUUGCACAUUAUGUUUUCUUAAGCCUCUCUCUUGCAUUGCUGUGGCUGCUUUCGGCAACAGGGAAACUCAACAAUAGUCCCGGCUGCCCAUUUUAGUUCUAUGUGUAAAAUUAGGCCUGGCAUUCUUGCAGUUGUUACUUAUGCGUUUCUGAUCCGUUAACUUAACCGUUUUAUAUCCUGAAGAUUUGGGUUAACUCUAUAAUAAGUGAAAU